rnacentral:rRNA from 1 species
UACGUAGGGUGCAAGCGUUGUCCGGAAUUAUUGGGCGUAAAGAGCUCGUAGGCGGCUUGUCGCGUCGGCUGUGAAAACCUGGGGCUCAACCCCGGGCCUGCAGCCGAUACGGGCAAGCUAGAAUUCGGUAGGGGAGACUGGAAUUCCUGGUGUAGCGGUGAAAUGCGUAGAUAUCUGGAGGAACACCGGUGGCGAAGGCGGCAUCCUGGACCGAGAUUGACGCUGAUGCGCGAAAGCCAGGGGAGCAAACGGG